ensembl:lncRNA
UCACUGUCCUGCCCGUCUCACUUAGGAGCUGGGGAGGCCAGCACGAAUCGCAAGAGGAUGACUAGGAGAUAAAGUGUGGUGUGUCGAAUGUUUUCCUAAAGAAAAGAAGACUGAAUAUGUCCCACUCUUAAAUUCAGAUUAGUCAGGGGAAGGAAAUCUCAAUCGGUAUAAAUACGCAUUUUUGGGCAGAAUUUGGGGUAAUAAAUAUAUUUUAGGGAAAGGUCAGCCACACAUGAGGAACGUAAUCUCACAUUUAAAUGAUGUACCGGGCAACAUUAAAUAAAUCAGGUUUUUAAACGGAAUAUACUCAAUAAUUACAAUCGUCAUAAUAAUAAUAAUUCUUGAUCAUCACGUCAAAAUGUUUCGGGUACAAUGAAGUAACACAAACACAUUUCAAGAUCUUUCCAGAAAUACCCUCGAGUUAGGAUAUUCAUUUAUUCAUAAGAAAUUGCGAACCAAAGCUUUAACUCGGUUAAUAGAAUUGUAAAAUGUGAAUUGACCCACCUGCACAACGAGGAUUACUGCUGUUCAUUGAGCGGUCGGGACUCAAUUUCCUUAUUUAUAAGAGAAAAUCCGUUACUCGUUUGGUCGCAAAGAACUCCUCCUCCGCGAUGCCCCCAUGCAACUUUUCCCUGUCACCAUUUAAAAAGACACAUGCUUUCAUUUCUCUCGCAUCUGUCUCAAUUUCGAGGCGACUCCCUGGCAGCGUCUCAAGUAGAUGCGCAGAAAGAAAGAAAAUGCGCAACGGAUUAAAAGUCCGCCAGUAAACGAUUAUGCGCAUUAAAAAAACGCGCAUCUUACUCCGAUGAACUUGAGUCACGCACGUUCUCAGUCGGGCUGUUUGCACUAAAGAUUCCCCUGCGAAUUGCGCAGCUUAAAGUCCACGUAGCGGCGUCCUGCCGCAUCCGAAGUGGCAGAAACAGUUGCAGAGAAGUGAUAUUUGCAUCCCGGCUGCAGCCUGCCAGCGGGCCGCCUAAGCCCCGCCCCCCCGCUCUCACUCAGAGGUGAAGCGCUUGUGGUGGACUCGUGCAAGUGUUGCUUCAACCGCUAUUAUUCUAUUGCAAUUCACGUGCAUUCCGUUGAUUUUUAAAGAUGUUUUUUUUUUUUUUUUUUUACCUUCCUCUGGGCCUUCAAUCCGGAUAUAAAACAAACACAGGUACGCCUCUAAAUGACCUCCAGCACCUGAGAAGGAUUUUUAUAUGACUCUCAUCCCAGUUUCAUGACCCCUAUGACCUCUGACAAUAAAGAAAAACACCUUUUUCUUUCACUCGAACAACCUUCUCAAGCGCAAUCUAUGACGACGUAUACGAUGCAAUGGGGAAGGAGACAGUUCUUCCCACACACAUUGUAAUCAGGUUAUUACAUAUUUUCAAAUCCCCACAAGGUUUUAAAACAUACAGUUACUUUAUGUACGUAGUAUUCGAUGUUGUGUCACAUCACUGCAGGUUUCAAUCCAACCAAGAUUCAUGCAAUUAAGAUCAUUAUGAUGAGAUUGCUCAUUUAAUCCGCUGUUCCUCUAAUAACAAUUAAAAAAUGCAAUCAGAAUCAAAAAGAUGAAAUAUCCCAAUCUUUUUAGAACUGUUAAUAAUGUCAGCGUGUAUCCAUUGUAUAUUUGCAAAUAGCAUGGAUUUUUUCAUUUCCUUACUAUCCAACAGGGGGCCAUAAACAACACUUCUUGGAGACCUGCAUUCUUUGUUGAUAAAUGUCCCGGGCCGAACGGUGAGAAGGACUACUGGAUAAACACCAGGCGCAUUCACUUACACUUAUCCUGCCUAAGCGUUUAUCCUGAGAAUUAAGUCACCGUGCAGGCUGCUGGGUUGUUGUUUUUUGUUGCACAGUGGCCAAGAAAUAAACAGAGCCAGAGCCUUGAAAAUAACACAUUGCCACUUUAUUUUUUACAAAAGCUCGGGAUGCAGUUGGAUGUCUUCUGCCAACGCGGCAGAACGGAGAUGAUAAUUUACUUUAAAUGUCGAUUGACUGUUUCGAGCGUGGCUCACGUUGUACGUGUUUUUUAUUUGCCGAACGCGGCGACUCCCAGUGGAAAAUGACGAGGGCCUCUUCUCCUUUUGAGUUAGUUAGAAAGACAUUUAAGUGGCGAAGGCCUCUACUGCCUGCCAGGCGGCCCAGCGGAGCCCAAAACAGAGCCAGACAGGCUCUUUGUAUCAGUUGUAUGCAUGCAAAUAUUGCAAAGACAUUAAUGUCAUCAUUUAUGUCCUUACCCAAAAGCCAAGGUUAGUCACGGGAGAUGCAAUACCUCCAGGGUUCUUUAAGAGAGACAUGGGGAUCCGUGAAGGUCAUUUCAGAUAUAAGAAGAGGAAGAAACAAAGCAAGACCUACUGAUUUACUUCUGAAAUAAUGAUGAUUUUUGAUUACAUCAGUCUAAUCAGGCCUUUUUGGCUCCGUUUGUGCUGUUCCUUUAAGAGGCAUGCUUCAUGUCAAAACAUUAGUUGUGGGUAUAAUUGAUAAUUAACCCUGUCAUGCUGCUGUUGGCUAAGUGCAGGGAAAAUGUUAAGAAACAUCAUGAUCGUGGCCAAAAAGUCCAACCAAACCGUCGGUCAACAACAAGGAGAGCAGCUUUUCAUUGUGCAUGUUGUGGUAAGACGGCUUUGUUCUCAAGGCAUUCAUUUCUUCCAACACAUACCACGUAAAAAUCAUUCCAGACUUGGCCAGUCUUGCGUGAUGUGUUAAACACAACGGGUUGGAGUGCAACAGGGUCUCGCAUAUUUUCUGUGUGUGCCAUACCGGGCAAUAACAUGCCACAUACCUCUCAUGUAACAGAUUGAGUUCCUUCUCAAAGCCAGACAAAACCACAGCACAGGGUCGCUCCAAAGUCAAUUACGGGCAGAAAAUCCCCGCCCGUCCCGUCAAGAGCACAAACGCAUACCAUAGAAAUGUUAUACAUGGCCCACGCUGUCUUCGUUAAGGUCUGCGGCCCGAUGGGCCACCUGAGAUGCCGUCCCGGGGGGGUUGUAGCUGAGACUCCACCUCUAUGCCGCCAGUCCGAAAGCUGGUUUUGAACCAAUAUCAUGGCAGAUGGGGGUAAAUAUGUCAGCUUUGUAAAUGAAGGAGAGGAAAGACGGAGUGAGAAACCUCGCUAGCCGCUCUGACAUGUCAUAAUUGGUGCGAGUGGUUAUAAAGUAGUGCCGGUGUGAGGUCGAAAAUGUUGUUUAAUCGUGAUUGGCUAGAAAUUACGACCGCAUUUGUUUUGGGAAAAAAUAUGUUGAUGUACCGUUUCUUCAACCUGAUCGCUGGCCAAGUCCAAAAUAUAUGAAGCUUUGAAAAACCUGGGAUUUUGUUUAAAAAAGGUAAUCGUACCGCAUUGCAAUUCAUCACACCAAUGCGUUCAACAUCUAUCAUGAUUGGGAAAGCUUAAAUAUAAGCCUGGGUGGCUUGUUUUUCAAGUAAAAAAAAAAAAAGAUGUGUGUGUUGCUCAAAUGUUGCGGGAAGCUUUUUUCUUUGAAAAUAAAGAUUGAUGAUAUUAGAAGAAACAUGCCCAGAAAGUUGGCCGCUGCCAACAUGUGUUUGCCAUAUUGGUGCUCAGAUAUCGGAAUAUCAGUAUGAAAGUAUGUGGAGUGCCAAUCCCUCCUUCAAAAAUGAACUCCUUUAUUCUCGUCACACAAAGUUCAACAAAAUACCACAAAACUAAACUAAAUGUAUCGAAUUCCAUCCGUGCAAUUACCUCGAUUUAGAAAUGUCAAAAUUCAUAGGCUGCUAUUUUUCAAUAAGAAUUUCUCUCACAUUCACGGCAUAUUUUUCACAGACCAGACGAGGCGUCGGCAUGAAAAAUGCAAUAAAUCUAUUUUAUUCAGCAAAAAAUAAGAAGUAGCAGCCCAUUAUUUAAGAAAAGUCCAUAUUUACAUUCCCCCUCUGGACGUCUUCUCAGAUGACACAAAAACAUUUGUGUUAUUCUCAGACAAUCCGAACCAGGUGCACAGACGUUUUAACUGAGCGAAAAGUCCCAAAGUAAAUAAAUUAAAUGUACGUAUUCUAGGUACUCAUCCGAUAUCCGAUCGGGGUUUGUGUGAUACACGUUACGAUAAAGGUAAGUUUAAGUUCAUGGGCAUCAGCCAACGUGAGCUCAGACCAGGUGAAAGAGUCUCAUGACAUGAAGAUUUGAGACAUAACAUCAUCGCGCGAGGGAGUGAAAGAGGCCUGCGAGUGUUCAAGGCGAGGAGCUUGACCGCAACAGAUGUUUCGAACAGUCCAGAUGUGGGGUACAGACCUCAAACUCUUCAACUUAAGACAACUGGAUUUAGGAGCUUUCAGGCUUGAGGUUCAAAAACGUUGCCAUGUUAUCCUGUUUUCCUGAGUAGCGAAGUCGGGUAUUUGACUUUUUGCCACCCGUCCUGUGUAAAACAACGUGCAGAGUCCAAAGCCUCGGUUCGUGAGGGUCGACUGUCAACGGAUAUUCUCCUUACGUGGUCAGACGACUAUGCAACGCUGUGAAUACUUCUCCGUCACCACGGCGGAUUUAGAGGUUUAAUAAUUGGAGCGAAAACGAGAUCUUUCAGUACUUCGGGAUCGAUGAAUGCUGAGCUAAUCGUCAGUUAACGUGUACUCCAUCCAUCAUGAAAAGAAAACUCAUAACUCUAUGGUUAACCCCCCCUGUGGUGCGACUAAAACCCCGCCGAUGUGAAACAAUGCACGCGCCAAUAAUGGCUUGGUAAAACAGUGGCAUCAGUUCUGUCCGAUGUUUGAUUUUGUCAAAUUAAAUGUGAUGUGCGGCCUUGCGUGUUUAUGAUGGAGCGCCUCGAAGGAAAUCACACGCCAGCGUCUGGUCUAUUUUUCGGUGCAAUCCCUCAUAACCAUCACACAAAUAUGCACGAUGAAGUGUGGCUCUUUAAUAGCCGUAUUGGAAGGGUGAUAUACAGUAUGCGUCCAACGUGUGACCUGUGGAUGUCAGAAGAAUUAGAAGAACUGAUUUGAGCCAAAAAUCUUUGGAUACAUGUUGUUUCUUUUGGGUUUGUAACAAAACAAAGUGCUACAGAUCAAUAGAAGAAUUCAAUGCAGAUCUAAGGGUGUGAAUGUAUUGAACAUUUGACCUUUGAGGAUUUGGAGCCGGUUGCAAGUUUUCUUCUCUGUGGUGGAACUUUUCACGUUUCCUCCAGUAGAAAAACCCAAUUUCAGAGUUUUAAUAGUUUUCUAUUUUUCAAUUCAGCAAAGUAUAACGUAUGAAGCACUGAAGAUAUACUAGAUAGACAUAUUAUUUACCAAAAUGUGUGGUUUUCUAUUUUCGUGACAAACUGCUUUGACAGCAGAUGCUACAAUUUACAUUAAUGAUACAUUUACAUGUUCAGCCAAUUGAUCCAAAUAGAAAAAAAAAGAAGAAAAAAAUUACAAAUAUAAAUAAAUAUAUGUAGAGAGAGAGAGAGACAUUUUUUUCCAAUCAAUAUAAUUCACUGUAACUGGUGUUCAUCAAAAACGUAUGCAGAGCCAUUGGCGUAUCCCUCAAUAAUUGUUGGAAACAGGCCACUCCAAACUAAAUAAAUCCAGUUAGAUUCAAUCUCACUACUUAAUAUGUUCCUGAAAUAAAUUUAAUCGCCCCAUUUACACGGAUGUCAAUUUGCUGUCCAUAGAUGCCAGAUGUUAAGCGACAUCAUUUCCCAACUUAAAAGGAUACAAAUAAUCAUUAUGACGGCCCCGUAAGUGAGAUAAUGAGGAUGCAUAUCGGAGGACUCCAGUCCAGCUCCUUCUCGCUGUACGAUACUGUUUAUGUUUCACUCGACCGUGAAUCGCCUCCCACAGAUGUUCUGGAACUGUCCAGGGUGUUAAUCACAAGUAACGUCCCGCGUGAUGUAAAGGGUCCUGGCGUUGUUUCAAACCCUCCCGAGCGUCUCCAUGAGGCCGCCGUGUUUUUCUCUCCCGCGGGCUAAUGAGUUCAUUAGUGCUUGAAACCGAAAGGAGGGGCCCCCUCAAAGUGUCUAAACUUAGUAGACAAAAGACUUUAAGUACGGCCGUCCGUCACCACUGUGUGACACGCAGUCAUCCCUGCAAUAUUUUAGGUGUGAAGAAGAUUUUCCAGCACACACGGCUCCGGCUUUAAUUUACACUUUCCUUUCAAAUUGUUUAAUAAUGAUAAAAGUGGUUCUAUCGUGUCUUUCGUUCCCAUUGCUCAAAUUAGCCGAUAUUUAACGGGCAACACUACGUCGUUUUCUCAAUGCCACGGUUCCAUGCGUGUUGCCAAGCCAAGCCUUUGCCCAUUUACGUUUACGCAGGAAACCCGUAGACUCAUCCGCUUCCUUUGUAGUCUCUGUGUUUGGCGGCACGUUCCGCAGAGAAACAGUCGCUCUACUUUUCUGGUCUUAGAAGCAAAUAAACAUGAGAAUGUUUUUCUUCGUAGGGUAGGUCCAUAUUCUUUGCAUGUAUUCAUGUCUUUUCGGACUUGCUGAAAGAUGUAAUUGCCAUUUCCGACUAUAAUCCCCGUGAUGACAAAAGCCCAUGAAACCCGACGUCAACCCGUCGAGUUGGUCAGUUGAAAGACACGAGAAGCUUUGAAAUCUGUGGACAACAGCGGGACUUCCCCAUGUGGCUGAAGUGGUUGAACCGCACCAACGGAGGAGCCAGGCCAUAACCCCCCCCCGCCACAACCUCCCUCCUCCCCCCGUGUGUGAGUUUCGGGUCAAUCCCUGGUUCCUCAUUGGAUGAAGCCAAAGGAAGCCCCCCUGUGACGCGGCCGUCACUCAACCAAGGCCACGAAGCACAGCUCACCUCGACGCCGGGACGUCCGUGUCACCCGGAGAGGAGUCAGGUCAUAGUGCGACUGGAACUUGGUGGUUGUUUUACGGACCGUCGAUUCAAGCGUUUGUAACACAGCAAGUGUGCUCGCUGCUGCUGUGGUUGUGUAGUGUUGAAACCCGACACUAUGUUUGCGUAUUGUUCCCUCCGAGGGAACGGGGGUCUUCCCCCGUUGUUCCUUAUUUAGAUGAGUAAUCCUAUUGAUGUCCACAGCAGUAUUAAUGUCACAUUUUGCCUGUAGCUAAACCUGCCAGAACACCCCUGACAGCACAGUCUGAUGGAGCCAGCAUGAGGACGUCAUGUUUACAAAGGUCAGUCAUGUGACCUCCGCUCCACCUUGAAUGAGCCGAUGCUGCAGAGCUCUUCUCCUUGGAGUUGGGUUUGUGAUCCAGGGAGCAUUGAGGGAAAUGUGGAAAGAAGCCCACAGCCCCGAGGCACCAGACGUCUCAGCGGAUCCGCAGACACAAACACAUCAAAUCCAAUUUGAAUAGAUGCUUCCUCAAACAUUUACUUGAUGGUAAAUGCAUUGUACUUGUAUUGUGCUUUUCUAGUCUUCCGACCACUCAAAGUGCUGUAACACUUCAUGUCGUCAUUCACCCCCUGGGGACAGGAGCUCAGCUGUUACUGCUGUUUAUUGCCAUCAAGGUAAAUCCUAACCACACGCAUCUGAUUGUAGCUGUGGUGCACAGGGACUCAACGGGUCCUACACGAGGUAGCAUUGAGAUGGAGGUCAGGUGGAGCUACUCAACGUGUAAAAAGUAGUCACGUGAUCCAACUUAAAUCCCUUUAAAUGCAUUUAUUCAACAACAUCAGAGCGCCGCUCCCCGCGCGAAUCACUGACUUACUAAGUGGCGUUCACUCGCCUGCAACCUCAUGUGGCCCCUGGGCCCUGUUUUUUUUUUUUUAGACAUACUAGAAAUCCUCCCACAUUCUGUUGUAAUCCUUCUCAAAUAAGGAACGGGGGAGGGAGCAGCGUGGUAAUAGUUGGAGAAAAAAGCCUUGAGCUCAUCUAAGGAAACGCGUUGGUCUCAAAGGCCGCACAUUAAAACAGCACAUGACUCACAGAAAUAACCACGCAACAAAAAAGGGAGACGUGGUCUUUUAAGUUGUUUUUCAAAGCCGACAUGAGGUGAUUAUUGAUAGAUAUAUAGACUCAUUGCCAGUCAUUUAUAAAGUAAUGUAGAAAUCUCCAUCUAAUGGGAGAAAUCCACAUGAGCAAACACGACCUUUAUAGUGUCUUUGUUAUGUUUCUUCUUUUUAAACUCAGCUGUUAGGCACAGGAAACACUCGCCAUAUUCACGCUUUGUUAACAAAGCCGUGAUAAGGAAUGAAUAACAGAGAUGUGGAAACGCCGCUGCUCGUGGCCAGCAGUGUGAGGCAAGCUGCGCCUGACACUAAUCAUUUUCUCAGAUACGGGCUGUGAACCUAAAAUUUGGAUUAAUCGCUUAUCAAAUGAGUAAAAUUACCCCAAUUAUCGCUUUCUUUUCUGUGCCCUCUGAUCCUCUGAUAACCUGCAAACAUGCGCAAUUAAUAACAUGUGACAUUCCAGUGUGCUUUGUGGAGCCAAACCUCACAACAUGUACCUCUUCGUUGACUUUUGUUCGAUUAAGGUCAAUAACUGGUGUUUGGUGUAUUUUAUUGUGUUACCCACCUCCCUUCUUGUUGCACACACUCUCACAUCCUUUCCCCCCUCGUGUGUUUGUUCCCCGUCACUUCUGAUUGUGUUUCCGUCCUGAUUAGUUUCACCUGCAUCUUGUUAUCCUCGCAGGCCCCCGACCUCUCGCUCGACUUUUCCCACUUUCCCAUUAGUCACUCGCUGUUUACACGAGCCCACUUUAUCAAUGCGUAGUCUGGUGCUGCAAGGAAUUCUGGGUAUCUGUCACCUUUUGGCAACUUGGACUCUUAUUUUGCAAUCUUUUGUCCACGUUCGGGUCCGUCUCCUGCUCUCCGAGUAUUCAAAUGAUUAACACCAAAUCCUUUAAUUAACAUAUGUUCUUCCCGUGGUAAAGAAAUGCAUUUUUCUGGCUCUAAUAAGCAUUGAAUGUAUUUUUCAAAUACGUCUUUUAUCUCAGUUUACAAUCCAAGUGAAAGCAUGUUUCUUAUUAUGAGCCAGAGACGGCAAUCAGGUCUUUUAGCGGAUCAGAUUGCAGCAGCGUGCAAUCUACCUGCCCGCUGCACACACAUGACAACUUGUUAGGAUUGGAAAGGCCGUUGAAAACACACUUCAAAAUAAUCACAUUAAGUCCUUUUUUCCCUGGUGGAGCCAGGAACAGAUGUCAGAUCUGGCUGAUGAAUCGGAGCCAUCUGAAACAACUCUUUUAGCCUCAGUUCAAUAAAUACACCUUUCAACACGUUCACGGGAAAAACAUGUGGAGUCACAACACGGGUUUUCGUGGCAGCCUGAGCUUGUAACCUGCAGAGCGACGUGCCAAUUAGUAACCAUUGUGUGCGCAACUCCUAAGGGCUUUCUGCUAACCUAAUGGAAGUUUAUAUUCUCAUAAUAGUGAAAAGCAUUUCGGAAGGUCUCCAAUGACAAUUGCAGAAAACACGCGUGUAACGGCGUGUUCACGGGACAGCUGCGUUUCCCUGCCAACUAUUGAACAAGAACAGGCCUUUGAGAGCAAGUCCUCGGGCGGUUUUAUUGGUUCUGUGCUGUUUCUAACGUACACUUUGUGUUCCCAAUAUAUAUUUUGCCUCUGUGGUUGAAAUACAGGGUUUACGUGUACGUCGUCUCUGAUUCACUGUGUGUGUGUGUGAGCCGUCUCUUUUUUCAUCACCAUCUCAAUGAGGUGGAAUAGGUCAAGUGCCGCAGCGGGCGGCGUGAUUUGUUUUGCUCGUGUUGGUAUUCUCACUCUUUGUGUCUCUCCCACUCGAACGAUGUUUAGAGGCAGAAGUUAUGAAUGGGACUCGUUUCCCCAUCUGUGCGGGCAAACCGGCUGCGCGUUGGCGAUGUGAAUGAUGGUGAUUUUCUAUGUCACUCUGCAGUAAACACCAUGAUUCAACAGCCCCGCUUGACCCCCCUCCCCCCCCUACCGCGCAGAAAUCAGAGCCCGUCACACAUCCGCCGCCGACAUCUGCGUUGCCAACGCUCCUUGAAUAAACUGCCAACUUCUAGUUGAGCCUCAAAGAAUGGCCGAGCUCGUAGGUACGAAGAAGGGGAAAGAAAAGAGCGAUAUUUGGUUCCUCUCAGAGGGCUUGAAAGUCAUUUUGAGCGUCCACGAGCUGCUCGCACUCCAAUAGCUGAGUUCAUGGCCUCGUGGACUCGACGGAGGAUCAAAUAGCUGAUUGCUUGCGAGAGGAAAAAUAAAGGUGCCAGUGAGAAUCUGUUGAGGAGCCAAAGGAUCGGUUUCUACUCUCAUUUAGAGAUUCCUCUAAAUGAAAUCGUAUUGGUGUGAGAUGAACGUUUUGGAGAACUAAGCAGGAAUGCUGCCAUCGCUGUGGUUGGAUAUAAACUUGUACAACCUCUGUCAAAGGCUCCCAUGGACAAAUUACAAACACAGCUUCCACCCAAACUUCAUCACUGGCUGUUUUAUGGAAACUUAAGCCAUUGCAAACCAGCGAGGUUGUCUUGACCCGGUGCAACCUUGAAAUACGCUAAUACGUCAACCAGAGCGUGUUGUGCAGAUUAAACUGUGCAACACGAUGUUUGGAUUAAAGGUGUGGUUAAAGAACUGCAACGUUUUUAUAUAAAAUAGCUCAUGGCUCCACCAAGGUAGAAACAUAAAUGCACUUUGGUUAGAAUUCUUAAAGCGCAAUAUCUGUUUUGUAGAUUGAAUGAUCAGAUGCCAUCAACCCCCCCCCUCCCUCCCCCAAAGGGCACUGAUCUCAGGACCUCUAAAAUCCAUUCAAGUCGUCUCAAGUGGAUCCAUUAUUAUGUUGUUAAGACAUUAAAUAUCCUUCACUUCACAUGCUUACAAAUGCAGAUGUUUGACCCUACUGACCUGCGGAUUUGUAUAUUCUGAUAUUGCCAUUUCCAUCUCAGUCAAAAGGAGAGUUACGGUAAAUUUGCUCCGAUGUCCAUCUUGCAAAGACAGUUUAAACCUAAAUGUUAGGAGGCAUUGGCUGGUCUAAACCUGUGUUCAUACUUUAUUUGACUCUUUAGACGUGAACUGGGCACGUGACAGCAUAGAAACAAGGUAAGCUGUGGCAGAAGGCCUUCUCAUUUCAUUACAUGUUUCAAAGAAGACCAACGUUUAUUCUGUGUAAUAUAACAAAGCCCUGAAGGAGCUCGAGGAGCACAGCGAGAGGAAACGGGGGAUGCAUAUUCCACAGAUUCUCCAGUUCCACAUUCCUGCACUGCAAGGAGGUGUAGUUCACACACACUAUCUGCUGCCUCAAUUCAAAUAUUUUGCUCAGUUUUAAGUGCUUCUUAAUUUUUCACGGCCUUCGUCCCGUUAGCUGAUUCCUUCCAGAUGUGGUUCAAGUGGGAGGUGAGAGGGGAGAUACAGCGUAAGGGCACCCACACUAAGACGCUGACCCCUUUUUUAUGCAUCUGCAUUUCAGGUCAAAAAGACGUGACUCGUCCGAUGGACGGCGGGACGACCAACUCCAAAAUGUCACUAAAACCAGAAGCUACCUGCCACGCCCAUUUGCAUCCCCUCGGGGAGCCGUAGCCACGAUUCUAAAAGCCUAGAGAAAGAAACAAUUUAACCAGCAAUCGACAGCAUAAUGAAAACGGCACAAUUUAGCAUUUCCUCAAGUCAAAAAAAUAUCAAAUGUGCAAAGCCUCAUGUAGAGAUGCAUGCUUACAUACUUGGAAAGGUCAAGUGUUGGACACGUACGUGACCGUCCGGCCUGUCUCUCCUGAAAACAUCAGCGUCUUUGUCCUGGUAUUUCCUCAACGACGGACACACGUUGUCGCUGACGGACACACGUUGUUGGCCAAUUACUCUCGAUAAACAUUAUUUUUCUGCAUAUUUGCCUGGGAACAAUAAUGAAUGACCACGAAGACGAAAUUCCGUCACAAACGUGUCAAAAUUGCAUCCAAGGUUGGGAGACUGGAAAGAGCCGUCCAAGGAAACCUCACAUGCGUCUACAGCGCACUUAAUGGUGCGUAAACGAUGGAACGUUUUCUAAAGUAGGUGAGGCGUGAAAGAGCACAUAAAUAGGCUACCAGGCCCGGGGUUUGGGAGACGUUCAAUGCAACUUUACCCCAGUGCAGAAACGACGCUGCAGCGCGAUGAGUGUCUUCAUCUCUCCUCGUCCCCCCGGCGGACGGAGGGAGGGGAAAGUCGGGUCGACCUCAGUAACACCACAAAGCUCAGCGCAAACUGCACGGCGAGACGGCCAGGGGAGGAGGGGGGGGCAGCCAAGUCCGCUGGUUUUUUUCCGCCUGCCCAGUUAGAAAACACCGUUGGAUCGCUUCAGUCAAUUCAUCACCAAAACAGGGGGUUCGGGUCAGUUCGGCGAUAGAUCACGGAGAGAGAGAGAGAGAGAGCGCUGCGGUCGGCCCGGGCGACGCCUCGGCGCCAAAACUGCAGCCAACGGGCAAAAUGUUCCUUUUCUCUUUGGGUCAAACUGAGACAAUUAGAGAGGAAGGACGAGUAAGUGAAAGAAACCGAGGUCAAAAGCGUCCUCGAAGCGAAAUGUGCCAAAACGGGUCAAACGAACACCACAGGAGUUGAAUCAAGCAGUUAAUGGACAUGAAUCUUUUAAGAGCGCAGCCCAAUUUUCACCGCUCAUUGGACCCGGGGAGCAGAGUCAGGCACAAAGAGGAGAGUGGAGUAG